GACGAACGCUGGCGGCGUGCCUAAUACAUGCAAGUAGGACGCAGUUGCGAACGGGUGAGUAACGCGUAGGUAACUACCUAUUAGAGGGGGAUAACUAUUGGAAACGAUAGCUAAUACCGCAUACUAGUAGAUGGACCUGCGUUGUAUUAGCUAGUAGGUAGGGUAAUGGCCUACCUAGGCAACGAUACAUAGCCGAGCAGGAAGGGGUGUCUGGCACACUGGGAAUUGGACACGGCCCAGACUCCUACGGGAGGCAGCCGUAGGGGAUCUUCGGCAAUGGGGGGAAAGCUGACCGCGCAACGCCGCGUGAGUGAAGAAGGUUUUCGGAUCGUAAAGCUCUGUUGAUAAGGAAGCGGUACUUAACCAGAAAGCGACGGCUAACUACGUGCCAGCAGCCGCGGUAAUAC
rnacentral:rRNA from 1 species